UACGGAGGGUGCAAGCGUUAUCCGGAUUCACUGGGUUUAAAGGGUGCGUAGGCGGGCAGGUAAGUCAGUGGUGAAAUCUCCGGGCUUAACCCGGAAACUGCCGUUGAUACUAUCUGUCUUGAAUAUCGUGGAGGUAAGCGGAAUAUGUCAUGUAGCGGUGAAAUGCUUAGAUAUGACAUAGAACACCGAUUGCGAAGGCAGCUCACUAAACUGUAACUGACGCUGAGGCACGAAAGCGUGGGGAGCAAACAGG
rnacentral:rRNA from 1 species